CAGGAGCCAAGCACAGCAAACAGAACAGAACUUGUCUUCAUGGAGCAUGUGCAGGAUUACACGCAGGUUUUGUUCAUCCUGACCCCAUGAUUCAGACUUGAAAUUUCACCAGCAGUGGGAACAGCAGAGUAUUCAAAUAGAAAACCAGUCCCAAACUGGCCAUCAUUGACACUCAUUGACCAAAGUGCAUCAGAGAAGCACAGGGAGGGAGCGGACCAGUCCUCCUCUGUGACUCUGCACCUUCCACGGGGUCCCAGCUCAGAACCAGGGGUGAGUUCUUUCCAGUAUCCCCACCCGUCUGACCCCCGCUUGGCGAUCAUGGAAAAACCCAGGGAGGGACGUGACUUUUCAGGGUCCAUAAAUGAACUUGGAUGGGGAAAAAAACCCCACAACAUUUUAAUUUUCACUAGCUUCCGACUAAAAUGUAGCAUUUUCUUCAUUAAUUGAAUGGAGGCAACACAUUACAGCAGGAUUAGCAGCUCCUGUGAUUUUGUCACCAAUCGAAAUCACAGAUAUUUCAUACCGCAUUAACGCUGUUGUGAAAUCUCGAAACACCGCUUCUGCUCGUAACUGCUUUGAAAUUGCAGUAGUUAUUAGACCUGCCACUGAUCUUAUUCUACAACAUGUUAAUAAAAAGCACAUAGAUCACUUUUCCACGACUAUAUUUCAAUAUGCAUUUCAAUGUACAGUAACUGGUUUCAUUUGUCAUCCUCUGUAUUUUAUGUUAUGCGUUUAAAAAUAUGAUUCUGAGAAGGGGCCCGUGGUCUUCACCAGCCUGCCACUGGGAGCCACAGUACGUCCUAUGUGCUGGCACUGUGCUGUGAGUUUUGCAAGUGUUAUUAAGAGAAUCCCCACAGCUACACUAUGAGGUAGGUAUGAAGAAUUCCCCCAUUUAACAGAUGAAAAGAUUGAGGCUCACAGAGUGGAUAAAUUCCCCCAGGACUCAGAGUCAGUAAGUGGCAGAGUUGGAAUUCAAAUCCAGAGAGUCUAGCAGGGAGCUACCUCACCUUCUUGACUCAGAGGUGACGGUCAAGCUCUGGUCCAGGGAGGGGGCAGGUGUCAGACGUGUUCCCAAAGCCCGUGCAUCCUCCAACCAGGUUCACAGGAAGGUAUGAACAGAGCAGGUGCCUGUGGGCACAGGCGGGGCCUUAGGAGGCACACCCUUGAGGGAGGACAGGUGAGAACAAGAGAACCUGCCUCAGGCUAUAUUCGGGGACCCUUGAUUUUUUUCCCAAACACUCCUUGCAGGGUUCCCCAAAUUUUCCUAUCUGUGAUAUCUGACCUAUACUUAGAUAUCUGAUUUUAGGUAUUUUUUUCAAAAGGAGUCAUCAGAAAUUUUAAAACAAUAAAGAGGAGGUGCAAUGUUUUAGGCUGGUAAUAAUAUUAUCAGUUUCUGAUCUGUGAGAGAGGUGAUAUUUUCACUCUUCCACAAAGAUCUCUCCAUCCCUGUUGAGGACAGAGAACUUGACCCAUUUCUUUCUUAUUCUUUAAACUGGAAAAUUCCAGUUCAUAGUUAAAGCUCAUGAUUGACAGUGAGUAAAUAAUGGCUCAGAGAGGAUUUAAGUUCAAAAUGAACCCAAAAACUAGGGAGCGAUUUCUCAAUGAAGAAGAUUCUGCUUCCCUGAAAGAUCAUGGGAGCAUGCUGACUUUUCUCCCCUCCCCUCCACUCCCCUGUCCUUCCUGAUGGUUCCUGGCAGGUCCUCAGCUGCCCAGCAGGUCUCUCCCCACCCCGAAGCUCCUCUCCCUGAAUCACACAUCAGCAGGCUUUACUUGAAAUGAU